GGCCAGACUCCUACGGGAGGCAGCAGUGGGGAAUAUUGCACAAUGGGGGAAACCCUGAUGCAGCGACGCCGCGUGAGUGAAGAAGUAUUUCGGUAUGUAAAGCUCUAUCAGCAGGGAAGAAAAUGACGGUACCUGACUAAGAAGCCCCGGCUAACUACGUGCCAGCAGCCGCGGUAAUACGUAGGGGGCAAGCGUUAUCCGGAUUUACUGGGUGUAAAGGGAGCGUAGACGGCAUGGCAAGUCAGAUGUGAAAGCCCGGGGCUCAACCCCGGGACUGCAUUUGAAACUGUCAGGCUGGAGUGCAGGAGAGGUAAGUGGAAUUCCUAGUGUAGCGGUGAAAUGCGUAGAUAUUAGGAGGAACACCAGUGGCGAAGGCGGCUUACUGGACUGUAACUGACGUUGAGGCUCGAAAGCGUGGGGAGCAAACAGGAUUAGAUACCCGGGUAGAA
rnacentral:rRNA from 1 species